rnacentral:lncRNA from 1 species
UUUUUUCAUGCCCUCAUCAAUGAUUUAUUGUUGAACAGUACUAUGGACCAGGAGAUAAAUCACACAGGAAAGAAGAAUCUUGUUGCUGAAAGGUAUUGAGGAAAUACAGUGCUUUGAGAUUGUUUUUAAAUAAUUGGAGGAAUUAAGAGAAUAAUCAGGAAUUAUAAAUUUGAAUUCUGGCAUGGGCACUGAACCAAUGUAAGACUGCGUAAAGUUGGUUGACUAUCCAAGUGUUUUCAUUUUCCCAUUCAUAUGUAAAGGCCUUAGGUAAAAUGCACUAAAAAUAAGCCAGAUACUAUUUCUAGUCCUGAAGUCAUCCUGAACAGUAUCUCCAGAAUGGAUAUCGUCCUCAAUGAAAAUCAGGUGAUUUGCUAAGAUUAGAAGGGGAAAUAAAUCAGCUAAGUAAUGCUUAUGUCAUUCACAAGAAACCAAAGUGAACAUCAAGAGACGUUAUGAAGGUAGGUGUUCCUAUCCACAUAUAGCACUGGGAGCUAGUACUGCAGGUAGACUGUAGAUGCAGUUACCCAGUUGAAUAUUUAAAUACGUCCUUAUUUGACUGUGCAAUCACACAGCCAAAUAUAUUCAAGGGUAGUUUCCUUUAUAAGAAAAAAAAGACUAAAUGAAAUGCUCAAAGAUGACAUUAGCUCAAUUUUAUGUUUGAAAACUUAAUUGCACCCAAGUGAGAAAAUACAAAAUUAAAGUUCUCACUGCAAGAAUUGAGCCUUACAGCACCUCGUAACAAGAAGAGAUUUUACCACACAUGUUGGAACUCAAUGAGAUGUGUGUACUGAAACCUAGACUGGAAAACUGCCUGCAAACCCAUUACUGCCCCUCUCCGAGAGUUUGAAGGGUAAGCCUUCUUUUGAGAUUAUACAGAGGUUUUAUCUUGAGAGUUACACCUAGGAUUUGCACCGUGGAUUGCACCAUCUAGUUAAUGUCCUACUGGAUAGUAACUCAUAUAAUUUUAUAUAAAAACAAUUUUGUCUUUCUGAUCCCUCUAUACUGUGUCUACCAAGACACCCCUAUGAAUUAAAAAAAAUGAGACAAAGGCUAUGUGAAUGUUGGAAGUGAAACCUCAGGCCCUGUGGUCCUGCUUUAUUAUUAGAGCACAUGAGUGACUAGAGAAGCCACUAACUGUGGUGACCUUCAACCCUUUUCAUUGCUUCUGGUUUAAAUUCUGAUACAUGUCUCUCCUUUGGAGACUUCUGGAGGCUUAGAAAUACCUGAUGUCGCUUCUUCACACCCAAACUAGCCCAGAAGAGCCUAGGUUCCUGUCUUCUUUCUGCAGUAUUGUCUCCUGAGUUCCUGAGGUCAACUGGAGCUGUGGAAAAUUGUUUACUGUCUUUCUGAAAUGCCUUCUAGAAUCCAGGAAAGAAGAAAUGAGCUGUCUACUGAAAUAGAGUCUGGAGACCUUUUGCCUAGAAUUCCCCUGAUGUGACUUAAUCCCUUCCCACUGUUGUACACUUUAGGAGUACAGGCAAUAAAGAAAGCAAGCAUUGCCUGUGUCACUACCAAGGCCUGCUUGUCAAUCUGUUCUUCAAUCUAAUUUUUUAAAAGAUUUUAUUUAUUUACUUGACAGAGAAAGCGAGCAAGCACAAGCAGGGGGAGCCGCAGAGGGAGAGGAAGAAGCAGGCUCCCUGCUCAGCCAGAUUCAUAUGACCUGAGCCGAAGGCAGAGCUUAACUGACUGAGCCACAGACACCUCUGUUCUUCAAUCAUUUAUCCAACAAACUGUAACUAUGAGUCUAUCAUAGUGCUAGUCUCUAGGACAUUCAAAGAUGAUUAAGGUAUUGUCCAUACUCUAAAGGGGCUCACACUAGUUUGAGAGAUGAUGUUUGUACACAUAUAUAUUCAUAAAAAAUCAGCUAGAAAGCGAUGGGUGCUAUGGGAGAAACCCAAGUACCAGGAGGAUUCAGAUUUGAGAGGAGGCCUCAAGAAAGGAGUGGUGGUUGAGCUGGCCCUUGAAAGGGAAGAGUAUGGCAUGGGGAGCCACAAGAUGCUGGUGCCACUGAUAGGAUGUCAGUAGAUAAAGAGAAAAGACAGGGAUUUGGGGGGUGGUUGUGGUGGGUGUGUGCUAAGGGCUGAGGCAGCAGGUAGGAGGUAAAGGAGAGAUAAUGCCACUGGUUCUGGACAUGUUGAGUUUGAAAUUGCAGUUGGAGAUCCCAGUAGAGCGUUCCAGCAGGCAAAAAGAGCAGUCCUGAGAAAGUUUAAACUUGGGAUCAUGUCUGCACAAAGAGGCCUGUUGAGAUAUUGGAUGUUGCUUAGGAACUGGAGCUAAGCCCUACAGCAAAGCAAUUAACACUCAGCAACAGAUACUAAUGUCUUCGUUACUUGCAGGCAGGCCAUAUACCAAGACACGGAGAAAUUCAGCUUUUUAGAAAUCUGGGGAGACUCUUUCCUAGAUUAGAGAAGUAAGGCCAGUCUCUGGUGAGUGGAUCCUGGUGGAGCAUUUCGGUAUACUGAGCCCCAUGAGUAUAUGAUUAUAAGCUCAUCUGUCCCUUUAAAAAAAAAAAAAAAAAAAG